rnacentral:rRNA from 1 species
GAUGAACGCUGGCGGCGUGCCUAAUACAUGCAAGUCGAGCGAACAGACGAGGAGCUUGCUCCUCUGACGUUAGCGGCGGACGGGUGAGUAAAACGUGGAUAACCUACCUAUAAGACUGGGAUAACUUCGGGAAACCGGAGCUAAUACCGGAUAAUAUAUUGAACCGCAUGGUUCAAUAGUGAAAGACGGUUUUGCUGUCACUUAUAGAUGGAUCCGCGCCGCAUUAGCUAGUUGGUAAGGUAACGGUUUACCAAGGCAACGAUGCGUAGCCGACCUGAGAGGGUGAUCGGCCACACUGGAACUGAGACACGGUCCAGACUCCUACGGGAGGCAGCAGUAGGGAAUCUUCCGCAAUGGGCGAAAGCCUGACGGAGCAACGCCGCGUGAGUGAUGAAGGUCUUCGGAUCGUAAAACUCUGUUAUUAGGGAAGAACAAAUGUGUAAGUAACUAUGCACGUCUUGACGGUACCUAAUCAGAAAGCCACGGCUAACUACGUG